AGCAUAUGCUUGUCUCAAAGAUUAAGCCAUGCAUGUCUCAGUACAAGCUAAACUAAAGUGAAACCGCGAAAGGCUCAUUAAAUCAGUUAUGGUUCCUUAGAUCGUACCCUUUUACUUGGAUAACUGUGGUAAUUCUAGAGCUAAUACAUGCAAAUCGAGCUCGGACCGGAGACGGGAAGAGUGCUUUUAUUAGAUAAAAACCAAUCGGUGGCGAGCUUGCUUGUCAUCGCUUACUUGGUGAAUCAGAAUAACUUGCUGAUCGCACGGUCUUGCACCGGCGACGUAUCUUUCAAAUGUCUGCCUUAUCAACUGUCGAUGGUAGGUUCUGCGCCUACCAUGGUUGUAACGGGUAACGGGGAAUCAGGGUUCGAUUCCGGAGAGGGAGCCUGAGAAACGGCUACCACAUCCAAGGAAGGCAGCAGGCGCGCAAAUUACCCACUCCCGGCACGGGGAGGUAGUGACGAAAAAUAACGAUACGGGACUCAUCCGAGGCCCCGUAAUCGGAAUGAGUACAAUUUAAAUCCUUUAACGAGGAUCUAUUGGAGGGCAAGUCUGGUGCCAGCAGCCGCGGUAAUUCCAGCUCCAAUAGCGUAUAUUAAAAUUGUUGCGGUUAAAAAGCUCGUAGUUGCAUUUGUGCUCCGCGCCGUCGGUUCAUCGCUUGCGGUGCAAUUGGCGUGUCGCGGAACGUCCAGCCGGUCUCAAUCCUACCGCGGUGCUCUUUGUUGAGUGUCGAGGUGGGCCGGCACAUUUACUUUGAACAAAUUAGAGUGCUUAAAGCAGGCAAAACUUUGCCAAAAUACUAGUGCAUGGAAUAAUAGAAUAGGACCUCGGUUCUAUUUUGUUGGUUUUCUGAACUCCGAGGUAAGAUUAAAAGGGACGGUUGGGGGCAUUCGUAUUGCGACGUUAGAGGUGAAAUUCUUGGACCGUCGCAAGACGAACAGUAGCGAAAGCAUUUGCCAAAAACGUUUUCAUUAAUCAAGAACGAAAGUCAGAGGUUCGAAGGCGAUCAGAUACCGCCCUAGUUUUGACCAUAAACGAUGCCAGCUAGCGAUCCGCCGAAGUUCCUCCGAUGACUCGGCGGGCAGCUUCCGGGAAACCAAAGCUUUUAGGUUCCGGGGGAAGUAUGGUUGCAAAGCUGAAACUUAAAGGAAUUGACGGAAGGGCACCACCAGGAGUGGAGCCUGCGGCUUAAUUUGACUCAACACGGGAAACCUCACCAGGCCCGGACACCGGUAGGAUGGACAGAUUGAGAGCUCUUUCUUGAUUCGGUGGGUGGUGGUGCAUGGCCGUUCUUAGUUGGUGGAGCGAUUUGUCUGGUUGAUUCCGAUAACGAACGAGACUCUGCCUUGCUAACUAGACGUAUUUCUGGCAUCUUACAGAUCCGUCGGCGCGGUGCUUCUGUGCCGUGGUCGUGCGUGGUCUUACUGCCGGCGUACUUACAAUUCUUCUUAGAGGGACACGUGGCUUCUAGCCACAUGAGAAAGAGCAAUAACAGGUCUGUGAUGCCCUUAGAUGUCCUGGGCCGCACGCGCGCUACACUGUAGGAAUCAGCGUGUUCGCCUUGACCGAAAGGUCUGGGUAAUCCGUUGAAUUACCUUAGUACCAGGGAUUGGGGACUGAAAAUCCCCAUGAACGAGGAAUUCCGAGUAAUCGCGAGUCAACAGCUUGCGUUGAUUACGUCCCUGCCCUUUGUACACACCGCCCGUCGCUACUACCGAUUGAAUGAUUUAGUGAGGUCUUCGGACUGGUACGCGGUGGCGCUUCGGCAUCACCGAUGUUGCCGGAAAGAUGACCAAACUUGAUCAUUUAGA
rnacentral:rRNA from 1 species